UACAGAGGGGGCAAGCGUUGUUCGGAAUUACUGGGCGUAAAGGGCGCGUAGGCGGCCUUCUAAGUCAGACGUGAAAUCCCCGGGCUCAACCCGGGAACUGCGUCUGAUACUGGAAGGCUUGAAUCCGGGAGAGGGAUGCGGAAUUCCAGGUGUAGCGGUGAAAUGCGUAGAUAUCUGGAGGAACACCGGUGGCGAAGGCGGCAUCCUGGACCGGCAUUGACGCUGAGGCGCGAAAGCUAGGGGAGCAAACGGG
rnacentral:rRNA from 1 species